AACGUAGGACACAAGCGUUAUCCGGAAUUACUGGGCGUACAGGGCGUGCAGGCGGUCUGAUAAGUUAGGCGUGAAAGCUCCCGGCUAAACCGGGAGAGGUCGUCUGAUACUGUGAGACUAGAGUAUGGUAGAGGCGUGUAGAAUUCCGCGUGUAGUGGUGAAAUGCGUAGAUAUGCGGAGGAAUACCAGUGGCGAAGGCGGCACGCUGGGCCAUAACUGACGCGGAGACGCGAAAGCAUGGGUAGCGAACGGG
rnacentral:misc_RNA from 1 species